GAGUUCCUAACGGCCCGGCAAUUACCACCCGGGUCAUCUCACACUUAGCAGUGGGUGUCAGAUGGUGGAAGGGAACGCUCAGGGAGGCUCCGGGCGCGCGGCGCUUAGAACGACUCGCAUGAGUCGCUGCCUUGGGUUGGAACCGGUUACUCCGCCGCUUCGUACUGGACUGCAAAGUAACAAGUACUUCGCCGGGCAGCGGUGCCGACCCCGUGUGCUACGGCGAGAGGUGCUUAGCCUAGAGCCGACGAAAACAUGUCCCCAGGACUCCCUUUCCCUCCCAGACUGCGUCCCACCAGAUGGAGCUUUCCGUCUGUUUUAACCACCAGUGUAUUCCUGAUGCCUGACCCAGGCGCUGAAAUAUUUGUUGAACGAAUAAAUGUGUAGGUUAGGACUGUGACGACAGUCCGCGAAUUCUGGAA